rnacentral:tRNA from 1 species
ACUUCCUUGGCAGAAUAGUGCGUUAAAUUUAGGAUUUAAAAUAUGUAAUUAGUUUAUGGGUAGUA